rnacentral:lncRNA from 1 species
UUCCUGAGGAGUUUAACGUAUUACAACAGUCUUAUCAUGUCUCAGAGAAUCCAAUUAUUACUGAGGAGUUUAACGUAUUACAACAAUCUUAUCAUAUCUCCGAGAAUCCAAUGAUUCCUGAGGAGUUUAACGUAUUACAACAAUCUUAUCAUAUCUCAGAGAAUCCAGUGAUUCCUGAGAGGUUUCAAUUAUUUCAACAAUCUUAUCAUAUCUCAGAGAAUCCAUUGAUUUGUGAGGAGUUUAACAUAUUACAACAAUCUUAUCAUAUCUCAGAAAAUCCAAUGAUUCCUGAGCAGUUUUAAGUAUUACAAAAAUCUUAUCAUAUCUCAGAGAAUCCAAAGAUUCCUAAGGGGUUUCAAUUAUUACAACAAUCUUAUCAUAUCUCAGAGAAUCCAAUGAUUCCUGAGGGGUUUCAAUUAUUACAACAAUCUUAUCAUAUCUCAGAGAAUCCAAUGAUUCCUGAGGAAUUUUAAGAAUUACAACAAUCUUAUCAUAUCUCAGAGAAUCCAAUGAUUCCUGAGGGGUUUCAAUUAUUACAACAAUCUUAUUAUAUCUCAGAGAAUCCAAUGAUUCUUGGGGAGUUUAGAGUAUUGCAGCAAUCUCAUUAUGUCUCAGAGAAUCCAAAGAUUCCUGAGGAGUUUAACGUAUUACAACAAUGUCAACAUGUGUCAGAGAAUCCAAUGAUUCCUGAGGGGUUUAACGUAUUACAACAAUGUCAACAUGUGUCAGAAAAUCCAAUGAUUCCUGAGGGGUUUCAAUUAUUACAACAAUCAUAUCAUAUCUCAAAGAAUCCAAUGAUUCCUGAUGAGUUUAACGUAUUACAACAAUCUUAUCAUGUCUCAGAGAAUCCAAUGAUUCCUGAGGAGUUUAACAUAUUACAACAAUCUUAUCAUGUCUCAGAGAAUCCAAUGAUUCCUGAGGAGUUUAACGUAUUACAACAAUGUCAACAUGUGUCAGAGAAUCAAUAUUGAUUCUGAGGAGUUUAACAAUAUUACAACAAUCUUAUCUUAUCUCGAUCAAUGAUUCUGAGGGGUUUCAAUUAUUACAAAAAUCUUAUCAUAUCUGAAAUCCAAUGAUUCCAUUGAGGGUUUCAGUAUAUACAAAAAUCUUAUCAUAUCUCAGAG